rnacentral:lncRNA from 1 species
UUGCUUCAUCUUCUUACAGUUUAUAUCAUCCCAACUGCCGUUACUUAUGCUAGAUUAACAAGUUCAAGUAAGUGGCAGGAAACUUCUCUUUCAGGUCUUUGUAUACACGUAAAUUAUUUGAAGCAUUCUUUUCCAGCCUAAUGGAUAGUUUUCCUCCAUUUUCUGCUUUCCAGAGCAGGCGUAAAUGUAAAUCCAACUAUUGUAGUUGACAGCAGUAAGAGGAGGCAUUUUGAUUAAACAAUUGAAUCAUCAUCCAACUGUCCGUUGCUUUAAGAAGGUGAUUUAGAGCAAGCUAGCUGAACAUUCUUGACCUACGCUGUGUUCUUUUAUCUUGUGUUCUGCAUAUCAUGCGAGAGGUUUCUUGAAACUGAACGUUAAUGAAUUAAUGAAAGAGUUGAAAGAUGGCAUAUU